CCUACUGGUGGCAGCAGUGGGGAAUCUUGCGCAAUGCUCGUAAGAGUGACGCAGCGACGCCGCGUGCAGGAAGACGGCUCUAUGAGUUGUAAACUGCUUUUGUACGAGGGUAAACGCAGAUACGCGUAUCUGUCUGAAAGUAUCGUACGAAUAAGGAUCGGCUAACUCCGUGCCAGCAGCCGCGGUAAUACGGAGGAUUCAAGCGUUUUCCGGAUUUAUUGGGUUUAAGGGGUGCGUAGGCGGUCGGAUAAGUUAGAGGUGAAAUCCCGAGGCUCAACUUCGGAAUUGCCUCUGAUACUGUUCGGCUAGAGAGUAGGUGCGGUAGGCGGAAUGUAUGGUGUAGCGGUGAAAUGCUUAGAGAUCAUACAGAACACCGAUUGCGAAGGCAGCUUACCAAGCUACUUCUGACGUUGAGGCACGAAAGCGUGGGGAGCAAACAGGAUUAGAUACCCGGGUAGUC
rnacentral:rRNA from 1 species